UACGAAGGGGGCUAGCGUUGCUCGGAAUGACUGGGCGUAAAGGGCGCGUAGGCGGCGAUCAAGGUCAGAUGUGAAAUUCCUGGGCUUAACCUGGGGGCUGCAUUUGAUACGUGGUGGCUUGAGUGCGGAAGAGGGUCGUGGAAUUCCCAGUGUAGAGGUGAAAUUCGUAGAUAUCGAGAGGAACACCGGUGGCGAAGGCGGCCAACUGGACGAAUACUGACGCUGAGACUCGAAAGCGUGGGGAGCAAACAGG
rnacentral:rRNA from 1 species